rnacentral:pre_miRNA from 1 species
CAAGUACUCCCUCCGUCCGAAAAUACUUGUCAUCAAAAUAGAUAAAAAGAUGUAUCUAGAACUAAUAUACAUUUAGAUACAUCCCCUUUUAUUCAUUUUGAUGGCAAGUAUUUCUGGACGGAGGAAGUACUAC